rnacentral:rRNA from 1 species
GAUGAACGCUGGCGGCGUGCCUAAUACAUGCAAGUCGAGCGAACAGACGAGGAGGUUGCUCCUCUGACGUUAGCGGCGGAUGGGUGAGUAACAGGUGGAUAACCUACCUAUAAGACAGGGGUAACGUCGGGAAACAGGAGCUAAUACAGGAGAAGAUAAUGAAGCGUAUGGGUCAAGAGUGAAAGACGGCUUUGCUGUAACCUAUAGAUGGAUACGCGCGGCAUUAGCUAGUUUGGAAGGUAGCGGCUUACCAAGGCCACGAUGCGUAGCCGACCUGAGAGGGUGAUCGGCCACACGAGAACUGAGACACGGCCCAGACUCCGACAGGAGGCAACAGUAGGGAAUCCUCCGCAAAGGGGGAGAGCCUGACGUAGCAACGUCGCGGGAGUGAUGAAGGUGUUCGGCUCGUAAAGCUCAGUUAUAAGUGAAGAACAAAUGUGUAAGUAGCAAUGCACAUCUUGACGGUACCUGAUCAGAAAGCAACGGCUAACUACGUG